rnacentral:rRNA from 1 species
GACGAACGCUGGCGGCGUGCCUAAUACAUGCAAGUAGUACGCUGAAGAGAGGAGCUUACUCUUCUUGGAUGAGUUGUGAACGGGUGAGUAACGCGUAGGUAACCUGCCUUGUAGCGGGGGAUAACUAUUGGAAACGAUAGCUAAUACCGCAUAACAAUGGAUGACACAUGUCAUUUAUUUGAAAGGGGCAAUUGCUCCACUACAAGAUGGACCUGCGUUGUAUUAGCUAGUAGGUGAGGUAAUGGCUCACCUAGGCGACGAUACAUAGCCGACCUGAGAGGGUGAUCGGCCACACUGGGACUGAGACACGGCCCAGACUCCUACGGGAGGCAGCAGUAGGGAAUCUUCGGCAAUGGGGGCAACCCUGACCGAGCAACGCCGCGUGAGUGAAGAAGGUUUUCGGAUCGUAAAGCUCUGUUGUAAGUCAAGAACGGGUGUGAGAGUGGAAAGUUCACACUGUGACGGUAGCUUACCAGAAAGGGACGGCUAACUACGUG